rnacentral:ncRNA from 2 species
AGGUGAGGUAGAGGCGCGAAAACCAUGAGUAUCCUGCUGGAGGAACGAGAAUCCAGUGAAGGCAGGGGAAAGGGGAAUUCGCCGAAAUGGCAGGUUGGAUCUCGCCGCCUGCUGUUGGGCCUGCAUUGAAUAAGUGCAGGACUGUCACCGGAUGAUCAUCCCGGAUGUUCGGUGGAGCACUAUCUCGCAG